UCGACCUUACUUGAACAGGAUCUGUUCUAUAGGCUCGUACCACUGUAUCCUUGAGUGUUAAGGAGACAGGCAACCCUAUCUGGAUGAUGAUGUAAAGAUUCAAGAUCAGAGUGUGAUUAACGGCUUAGAUUCUCUAAGAUCGGAGGCUGUGGAGGAUCGUUCUCAGCAGAUCUCUACUCCUGAUGGGGGUGGUCUGGUCUCGAGUCUGUCUGACAGAUC